rnacentral:rRNA from 1 species
AUUGAACGCUGGCGGCAGGCCUAACACAUGCAAGUCGAACGAGUGGCGGACGGGUGAGUAAUUUCUGGGAAACUGCCUGAUGGAGGGGGAUAACUACUGUAAACGGUAGCUAAUACCGCAUACCAUCAGAUGUGCCCAGAUGGGAUUAGCUUGUUGGUGGGGUAAAGGCUCACCAAGGCGACGCUCCCUAGCUGGUCUGAGAGGAUGACCGGCCACACGGGAACUGAGACACGGGCCAGACUCCUACGGGAGGCAGCAGUGGGGAAUAUUGCACAAUGGGCGAAAGCCUGAUGCAGCAAUGCCGCGUGUAUGAAGAAGGCCUUCGGGUUGUAAAGUACUUUCAGCGGGGAGGCGUUACCCGAAGAAGAAGCACCGGCUAACUCCGUGCCAGCAGCCGCGGUAAUAC